rnacentral:rRNA from 1 species
CUGUUAUCCCCACGGUAACUUGUUUUUAUCCUUUUUAGGGUUGAUUUGAUUUUGGGAUUAAAAAGAUUUGGUUUUUUACCGCCCCAGUUCAAAUUUCACUUAAAGUUCGAUGGGGUCUUGUCGUCUUCUCUGUAAAUUUAAGUCUUUUUACUUAAGAGAUAAUUUAAAGUGGUUAUUAUAAUAAAGAAUCUUACUCGUUUGUCCUUUCAUUCUAUCCUUUAAUUAGAAGGCAAAUGAUUAUGCUACCUUAGCGCAUAUGAUUGCGGCUAUUUAAAAUUCAUGAGCAGGGGGAACUAAUUA